rnacentral:rRNA from 1 species
UCUGUAUGCUCACAUACAGGCCGCCGGAAAUACUGCAGAGCUAGGGAGUGGGAGAGGUAGACGGUACUCGGGAGGAAGUGGUAAAAUGCUUUGAUCUCUCGAUGACCACCUGUGGCGAAGGCGGUCUACCAGAACACGUCCGACGGUGAGGGAUGAAAGCUGGGGGAGCAAACCGGAUUAGAUACCCGGGUAGUCCCAGCCGUAAACUAUGCAAACUCAGUGAUGCAUUGGCUUGUGGCCAAUGCAGUGUUGCAGGGAAGCCGUUAAGUUUGCCGCCUGGGAAGUACGUACGCAAGUAUGAAACUUAAAGGAAUUGGCGGGGGAGCACCACAAGGGGUGAAGCCUGCGGUUCAAUUGGAGUCAACGCCAGAAAUCUUACCCGGAGAGACAGCAGAAUGAAGGUCAAGCUGAAGACUUUACCAGACAAGCUGAGAGGUGGUGCAUGGCCGUCGCCAGCUCGUGCUGUGAGAUGUCCUGUUAAGUCAGGUAACGAGCGAGAUCCUUGCCUCUAGUUGCUACCAUUACUCUCAGGAGCAGUGGAGCGAAUUAGCGGGACUGCCGUAGUUAAUACGGAGGAAGGAGAGGGCCACGGCAGGUCAGUAUGCCCCGAAAAUCGU